AAUUAUCUUCAAAUUUUGUUUAUUUUUUGCUAAUUCAAUUGUUAAAAGGUAUAUAAAUUUUUAAGCAAGAUCAAUAGUUUAAUUGAUAGAUAUUGAGAUUCUAAACUAUGCUAGGAUUAAAUUGAGUAGGAUUAGGAUUUAGUUUAAGAUUUGAUUUAUGAUUUAGGAUUUGUCUAGGAUUUUAUUUAGAAUUUGCUUUAGAACUUAAGAUUUUUGUAGGAUUUGAUUUAGGAUUUAGGAUUUAAAAUUUUCAAGGACCUGAAUCUCGAAGAAAGAAAAUCCUUAAUAUACUCUUAUGUCAUUAAAAGGAACUUAAAAAUUCCUCAAAGAUGAUAUAAUAU
rnacentral:lncRNA from 1 species